GACGAACGCUGGCGGCGUGCCUAAUACAUGCAAGUCGAACGCAGUGGGGACGGGUGAGUAACACGUGGCUAACCUCCCAUCAGAGGGGAUAACACUUGGAAACUGGUGCUAAACCGAUACUGAUGGAUGGACCCGCGGUGCAUUAGCUAGUUGGUUAGGUAACGGCUCACCUAGGCCACGAUGCCUAGCCGGCCUGAGAGGGUGAUCGACCACACUGGAACUGAGACACGGUCCAGACUCCUACGGGAGGCAGCAGUAGGGAAUAUUCGGCAAUGGACGAAAGCCUGACCCAGCAACGCCGCGUGAGUGAAGAAGGUUUUCGGAUCGUAAAACUCUGUUGUUAGAGAAGCGGUAUCCAAACAGAAAGCCACGGCUAACUACGUGCCAGCAGCCGCGGUAAUUC
rnacentral:rRNA from 1 species